GGGAAAUGUGGUGUUAGGGAGGAUCCGUUUAUCCCGAGGUCGUGCGGCGCGUCCAAGUCCUUCUUGAACGGGGCCACAGCCCAUAGAGGGUGCCAGGCCCGUAGCGACCGCUGCCGAUCGCGGGAGGAUCUCUCCUCAGAGUCGGGUUGCUUGAGAGUGCAGCCCUAAGUGGGUGGUAAACUCCAUCUAAGGCUAAAUAUGACCACGAGACCGAUAGCGAACAAGUACCGUGAGGGAAAGUUGAAAAGCACUUUGAAGAGAGAGUUCAAGAGUACGUGAAACCGUUCAGGGGUAAACCUGAGAAACCCGAAAAGUCGAAAGGGGAAAUUCAUUCGCGUCUCGACCGUCGGAGUGGAGCGAUCGAGCGACGGACGGCGUACGCGUCGUCCGCGCCUUUCGUUUUACGUUUCGGCGUCGAACGCGUGCACUUUUCCCCUAGUAGGACGUCGCGAUCCGUUGGGCGUCGGUCUAAGGUCCGCGGUGGAGCCCGAGCGUGCGUCUUCGGACGUUCGCGCUCGGACCCGCGGUAUCCCGGCCGACUCGCUCGACGGUAUACAGAUGGCGCGGGGCCGCUAUUUCAAUUAGCGUUCGGCCCGCGGCAAGCGCGUACGGUGUUGUCGACGAUCGGACCUGGUGCCGGUCUCGUCCCCGGACGACUGUUGGCCGCGGUGUUUUCUCGAACAGACCUCGUUACGAAACGCCGAUCUGCGACGCUAUAGCUUUGGGUACUUUCAGGACCCGUCUUGAAACACGGACCAAGGAGUCUAGCAUGUGCGCGAGUCAUUGGGACAUAACUAAACCUAAAGGCGCAAUGAAAGUGAAGGUCCGUCUCGCGCGGACCGAGGGAGGAUGGGCGAUUCGUAUUCCGUACGGUCGCU
rnacentral:rRNA from 1 species